rnacentral:lncRNA from 1 species
AUCUGUAAAUGUACUGAUUAACAUUAAGGUUUACAUCCUCCUAAAAGCAAUCAUCUAUUACUUUUAAUAUAUGAAGAAAUAGUAAUCUAUUACCAGGGCAAUGGAUAUUGGAUUUAAAAGGAAUAUAGACGAAAUCAUGAAAUUAAAAAGUCAAAUGUAUGUAUCAGUGGGUGUAUAUGUACAUAAACUGAAACUCAGGACCCAAGUGAGAAAAAAGUCCCUCAGUCUGUCAUUUGCACUUUCAAAGCAGUGACGUGCUAUAACCCACUUGCACCAUCUUUCAAGGACCAAUUGUAUGCACCAAAUCCUAACUUCAACCUGAGGAUCUGAUGUUGGUAGUUUGAAAUAGACCAGGGAGUAUCAACAAAUACUACAAAUCAGGGCUCUACUCCCACCCUAACCCCUAGCCAGUUGUUUAACAUUUACCAGCACACAACUGAUUGAAAGGGAGCAUUUUGGUCAUAUUUUCUAAAUCAAAUAAUUCUUCAUUUGCCCUUACCAUUGUCAUAUUUUAUAUAAUUGAAGAUAAAACUAUUAUAUCUGCAAUGAAAAUUCAUGAAUAAAUACAAUGUAAAGUAUCUGAUUUUAGUAUAACUUCACUAGAGGAAACAUAUCUAUAUACCAAAAGAUAUGGAAAGCUACUUUCCUAAAUAUUUAGUAGUAUUAGACAACGAGCAUGUUUAGAGUCAUGAAAGUGUUACAACAGAUUUGGAACUGCCAUUAAAAUCUCUACAAUCUUGGGCGAGUCACCUAGGCCCCUAGACACCAUUCCUCUAUAUUUGUAAACUAAAGAUGUCAGCUUAAACAACUUCUAUUCAUUCUGUUUAAUAUUAUAGGAUCUUUGUGAUGAUACCAAGGAGUCUUCACUUACCUCCAUACAGGUCAAUUUUUCCUGUCUUUUUAUAGGGGGAAAUAGCAGUCAGGAUGGCUUAUGGAGAAUUCAAUAGCCCCUUUGGAGUCUCAGGUAUUUUUUAUUUGCUCUUCCUAUAUUAUCAAGAAUUCUUCUUUUCUGUAUGUUAACUAUUCACAAAGGUAAAUGGGUAGCACACUAAACCAACUGCAUUCUGAGCAACAGCAUCCUUAGUUCCAGUUAAGAUAAACUAUAUCCAAUCCAAAAUUGUUUUUUAUAAUCUGGGUAGGCUAUUUCAAAAGAAAUAAGCCACCUAUGUACACACUGGUAGUUAAUGCACAAUGUCACCAGAUGAGAUUUUUGAUAUGAUGCAAAUAUUUAAAAUGCUGAUCAUUUUUCAAGGAUUCUAAGUAAAUAUCAUCAAAGAGAUACAAAGCAAGUAAGUUAUCAGCUAUUCAGAAACAAAUUUUUUCUUUGGUCUUUUUGCCAUUUCUUGGGCAGCUCCCGUGGCAUAUGGAGGUUCCCAGGCUAAGGGUCCAACCGGAGCUGUAGCCGCCUGCGCCACAGCCACAGCAACGCCGGGAUCUGAGCUGCGUCUGCGACCUAUACUACAGCUCACUUCAACGCUUGAUCCCUAACCCACUGAGCAAGGCCAGAGAUCAAACCCGCAACCUCAUGGUUCCUAGUCGGAUUCGUUAACCAUUGAGCCACUACAGGAACUCCAGAAACAAAUAUUUAUAAAACUAAUUGAUUUAAUAUUUCUGAAUCUGAUAUUAUAUACUUUUGAGAGAAAUGCUUUUCAACAGGCAAGCAAAAAAGCAAACAUUCAAGUGCUAAAGAUAAAAUACUAGUACAUGAAUAAAUUGGUUUAGGCCAUCUCCUUAUUUAGUGAUAAUUCAUGAUAAUUUAUGGCAAAUCAUUACUAUAAAACAGGUAGGAUUCUUACUUAAAUUAAAAAUCCAAAAUAAAGACAUAAAGUCAAAAAUAAGUACUAAGUAACUGCCAGUCUCCUAUGUAAGGACAGUUCUGAGGAAUGAUUCAUAGUAUAUAUGUUCCAAUGGUGGAAAGUAUAGAUAAUGUGAUGUGGAUCAAUUUAAAAUGUUUCCAAAACAUUUAAUGUUAAUACCAUGUUAAUAACAUGCUAAUACCAUGUCUGUGCCAGGAACUUAGCUAUGGAUACUAUUUUAAAUCAUCUACCUAUAAUGCAAAACAUAUUUGCAAGGCCAUUUUUCAGCCAUAUGCUAAAACUACAGCCACUCACUUUUAUUUGCCUGUUUAAUAAGAAUGGAUUUAGGUAUUGAAAAAAUAGUUUAUCAUAGUUCUAGCUUUGAUAAGCAUUCCACUUCUUUAAACUGCAUGUUUAUUAUAAUAAUAGUUACAACUGAAAUAAAGAAGUUUAUAAUCAAAAUAUGCCUCAUUUUAUAACAUUAUGUAAUCUAAAAUAAUUAUAGUGAUUAAUAAUGAUUUCUAACAUUGAAAAUGUAUGUGCCAAGCACUGUUUGUAUCUUUACACAUAUUCACUUUAUUUAUUCUCAAUUUUAUGAGGUAGGUACUAUUACUGUCCCAUUUUCCAAAAGAGAAAUAUGAUGCUGAAAUGAGUUAGAUAAUUUGCACAAGAUCACACAGCUUAAAUUCCUAUUUGCUUAUAUGACUCUAGAGUCAUGCUGCCCAAUAAGGGAAACAAAUGCCCCAUGUGGCUACUGAGCACUUGAAAUGUGGUGUGUCCAGAUACUGCGAAAGUAAAACACAAAUGGGAGGUGCAUGUAUCUUUUUGAAUUACAGUUUUGUCCAGGUAUUUGUCCAGGAGUUAGGAUUGCUGGGUCAUAUGGUAGUUCUAUAUUUAGUUUUCUGAGGAACCCCAUACUGUUUUCCAGUAUAUACAUAUGACUGGGUCACCAUGCUGUACAGCAGAAACUGGCACAACACUGUAAAUCAACUAUACUUUAAGAACAAAAUAAUGCCAUUUGCAGCAAUAUGGAUGGAAGUAAAGACUUUCAUCCUGAGUGAAGUAAGUUAGAAAGAGAAAGACAAAUACCAUAUGAUACCACUUAUAUCUGGAAUAUAAUAUACGGCACAAAGGAACCUUUCCACAGAAAAGAAAAUCUUCGACUUGAAGAAUAGACUUGUGGUUGCCAAAGGGGAAGGGGAGGGGGUGGGAGGGACUAGGAUCUUGGGGUAAAUAGAUGCAGAAUGUUGCCUUCAGGAUGGAUUAGCAAUGGGAUCCUGCUGUGUAGC